rnacentral:lncRNA from 1 species
CUGCAGCAGCGAUGGCUUUCGCUGGAUCUGAAGUGGCGGUAACGGCUCCUGUGGUACAGCCGGAUAGAGUGACUGGAGGACAUGCGGCAGCGGAUGAACCUGGUUGUUGCUGAUGUCUUUGAAUGUAAUAACCACCAGAAGGAGAUAUAGUGAUCUGUUGAUGUUGAUGCUGAGAUUGCAUAUAAGGAUUAGAGAAGAAAAGCUGGGCUUGCUGCUGCAACCCAUGCUUUGGCAACUGUUGCUGUUGUUGUUGAGACUUGGAUCCAGAGCUUGUGGUGGGGUUUCCCAGAACUGAAGGACCGUUGUUCCUUCCACCAGCGGAAGAAGCUGCGGAUGCAGACUGCAAGUUCUUGGACGGCUGAGAUGAUGAGGGAGUAGUAGAGGAAGCUUGUCCAGCUUUGUUCACCGCUGAUGAAGCCGAAGCAGCUGUUCUUGGGCUCCCACCCGCGCUUUUCGAGACGGAAGACGUUGAAGGUGACCCAACUAACAUUGGUGGAGACGGAGCCUGGUUGUUGGUGCCUCCUUGCACCUGCUGCAUUGGCGAACCAGACGCCAUAGGUUUUGAGUUUGAUGCAAAAGAUAUCUGCGACUGCUGGGGACGGCUUUGCUGUUUAUGCGAUACGUUUCUUACAGACGAUGCAGCGGCAGCAGACGAUGAUGGCGACAGUAUGGACGGAGACUGCGCUUGGGAAGUGUUGGAUGUCCUGGGUGAAUUGUUUUUCCACUGAGGAGACUGCACUUGAGUGCUGCUAGACUGGACAAGGUUUUGAGGAAAUCCUGAAUUGGCAUUUGUAAACUUAGCGCUUCCGGCGGGUGAUACAGAGAUAUUAUGAUCAGCGAAACCACUCCCGUUACUCGCCACAGGCCCUUUGGUUCUAGCAGCAGAAGCAGCGACUGAAGUUGCAUACCGUUGUUGCUUCUGGAGAUACAUGGUGGUGUAAGGUUGCUGCAAUUGACUCCGUUGCAUAUGCUGCUGCUGCUGCUGCUGAUGUUGGUGUUGCAAAUGCUGCAGCUGCUGCUGCUGAUGAGACGUCAGCACAGAACUGGAACUCUGUGGCUGAGUAGAACCUUCAUAGACGGUGUGGACCAUUCACUAGUUCCUAUAACGUAACACUGAACAAGCUCAAAGGCGGGAGACAGGUCUGAUGCUGAGCCUAGCUUCAGCUUUUCUUUAUGCUCUCUUAACAAACAUGGUUUAACUUGUGGACCAAGGUGCUGAAAAAUGGCUGAUCUUUUCUGCUAGCCAUUUCCAAACACUUCUUGGUUUCGUCUCUGUCUCUUCAUUCCCAAAGGAACUAAAAAAAUCUCUUCCCAGAAAAAGAAACAGUUCUCUACUUCUUGAGUCGGCAUCUGUGUUUUAAAUGGCGCAUGGCGCUCUAAGGCGAGGAGGUUGGAGCCAUGCGCCUUGUGCCAUGGCGCUCCAAGGCGCUCGCCUUAUGGUUAGGAUGCAUUCAAACGUGGUUUAGUUAUAUACAGCUUUAGAAGAACUUAGAUAUGCAUUGAUAGAUGUUCUUAGGUUAGAAGUGUAUGUGUUAGCUACAGACGUGCAACUAUUUCUAUGGUUACAUAUAGAAGAUAGUUAUAGAGUAGACUCGUAUAUAACACUAGUACAGUCAGCUAUACCAAACUGUCUUAUUUAUACACACUAAUAUAGUCAGCAAGGAGUUAGUCAUGCACACUGAUAUAGUCAGCUAUGUACACAUAUAUAAACCCCAAAACACCAAAACAAAGAACUUAAAACUAAAAAGCUAAAUUCAAUUGCUCAAAUCCAACAAAACCUAUAACUCUGAAGAUCUAAGCAUUAUGUUUUAAAGAUAUUUAAAUGGUCGACAAAGUAGUGAUAGAGUUCCAAAAUGUUUUAAGGGUUCCGUGAAAGUAGUGUUUAACGGAAACUACAAGGCGCGCCUUAAGAGGUUCAAAGGCGCUUAUAUUUAAGCCAAUGGCGCACCAUGGCGAGCGCCUUGAGGAACUAGGGCUCGCCUUAGAGGACUGAGGCGUUAGGACCAUCGCUCCGGUGCGCCUUGCACCUUGGCGCAAAAGGCGAUCGCCUUUUAAAACACAGAACCCCAGCAACAUAUAAUCCACUUAGUGACGACUGACGAAACAGGCCUACAACACAAGAACUUAUCAGUAUAUGAUACACGUACUUCUCAGCUCUUGUUCAUUUUUCUGAAGAUCACUACCUAAACACUCAAACCUCAGAAGAAUGAAUGAAAUUUUUAAAAGAAAAUAGAACUCCAGUGGCUGUUUUUUAAAUUGAAACCGUAGGUUCCUGUCAGAAUACCCAUAAUAUAAACACUAAUUGUACACAACGCUUUAAAAGCCUCCCCCCUACCAAACUCCCAAAAAAUUGUGUGGGUGGGUCUGUUCCGUCUGCUUCUUUCUCCCGGCUCCUACGUCUCUCUUUAGUCUCGCCGGCACAAGCUAUAACCGGAACUUCCCAACCACUCGAGUUUUUCUCUUUUCUUUAAGUUAACAAAUGUUCUAUUAAAGUCUUUCACUCACCAGCUUGUUGCUUCUGAUCUACGGGCUUUACCUGAACCGCAGGUGGAACCGCGUGUACAUACGGAAACCCUGGAGGCACCAGCUGAUGUUGCUGCGUCUUCCCCAUACCUCCUCCUCCUCCUUUCAUGUUACUGGCUGCUGCUGUUGCUGUUGCUGCAGCAGCGAUGGCUUUCGCUGGAUCUGAAGUGGCGGUAACGGCUCCUGUGGUACAGCCGGAUAGAGUGACUGGAGGACAUGCGGCAGCGGAUGAACCUGGUUGUUGCUGAUGUCUUUGAAUGUAAUAACCACCAGAAGGAGAUAUAGUGAUCUGUUGAUGUUGAUGCUGAGAUUGCAUAUAAGGAUUAGAGAAGAAAAGCUGGGCUUGCUGCUGCAACCCAUGCUUUGGCAACUGUUGCUGUUGUUGUUGAGACUUGGAUCCAGAGCUUGUGGUGGGGUUUCCCAGAACUGAAGGACCGUUGUUCCUUCCACCAGCGGAAGAAGCUGCGGAUGCAGACUGCAAGUUCUUGGACGGCUGAGAUGAUGAGGGAGUAGUAGAGGAAGCUUGUCCAGCUUUGUUCACCGCUGAUGAAGCCGAAGCAGCUGUUCUUGGGCUCCCACCCGCGCUUUUCGAGACGGAAGAAGUUGAAGGUGACCCAACUAACAUUGGUGGAGACGGAGCCUGGUUGUUGGCACCUCCUUGCACCUGCUGCAUUGGCGAACCAGACGCCAUAGGUUUUGAGUUUGAUGCAAAAGAUAUCUGCGACUGCUGGGGACGGCUUUGCUGUUUAUGCGAUACGUUUCUUACAGACGAUGCAGCGGCAGCAGACGAUGAGGGCGACAGUAUGGACGGAGACUGCGCUUGGGAAGUGUUGGAUGUCCUGGGUGAAUUGUUUUUCCACUGAGGAGACUGCACUUGAGUGCUGCUAGACUGGACAAG